rnacentral:rRNA from 1 species
UACGUAGGGUCCGAGCGUUGUCCGGAAUUAUUGGGCGUAAAGAGCUCGUAGGCGGUUUGUCGCGUCUGCUGUGAAAUCCCGAGGCUCAACCUCGGGCCUGCAGUGGGUACGGGCAGACUGGAGUGCGGUAGGGGAGAAUGGAAUUCCUGGCGUAGCGGUGGAAUGCGCAGAUAUCAGGAGGAACACCGAUGGCGAAGGCAGUUCUCUGGGCCGUAACUGACGCUGAGGAGCGAAAGCGUGGGGAGCGAACAGG